GAUGAAGAACGCAGCGAAAUGCGAUAAGUAAUGUGAAUUGCAGAAUUCAGUGAAUCAUCGAAUCUUUGAACGCACAUUGCGCCCUCUGGUAUUCCGGGGGGCAUGCCUGUUCGAGCGUCAUUAUAACCACUCAAGCUCUCGCUUGGUAUUGGAGUUCGCGAUCUCGCGGCUCCUAAAAUCAGUGGCGGUGCCUGUCGGCUCUACGCGUAGUAAUACUCCUCGCGAUUGAGUCCGGUAGGUUUACUUGCCAGCAACCCCCAAUUUUUACAGGUUGACCUCGGAUCAGGUAGGGAUACCCGCUGAACUUAAGCAUAUCAAUAAGCGGGGA
rnacentral:misc_RNA from 1 species